GACGAACGCUGGCGGCGUGCUUAACACAUGCAAGUCGAACGAAGAGCGAUGGAAGCUUGCUUCUAUCAAUCUUAGUGGCGAACGGGUGAGUAACGCGUAAUCAACCUGCCCUCCAGAGGGGGACAACAGUUGGAAACGACUGCUAAUGCCGCAUACGAUCUGACCUCGGCAUCGAGGAUAGAUGAAAGGUGGCCUCUAUUUAUAAGCUAUCACUGAAGGAGGGGAUUGCGUCUGAUUAGCUAGUUGGAGGGGUAACGGCCCACCAAGGCGAUGAUCAGUAGCCGGUCUGAGAGGAUGAACGGCCACAUUGGGACUGAGACACGGCCCAGACUCCUACGGGAGGCAGCAGUGGGGAAUCUUCCGCAAUGGACGAAAGUCUGACGGAGCAACGCCGCGUGAGUGAUGACGGCCUUCGGGUUGUAAAGCUCUGUUAAUCGGGACGAAAGGCCUUCUUGCGAAUAGUUAGAAGGAUUGACGGUACCGGAAUAGAAAGCCACGGCUAACUACGUG
rnacentral:rRNA from 1 species